UUGGGAAUCUUGCACAAUGGGGGAAACCCUGAUGCAGCGACGCCGCGUGGAGGACGAAGGGUCUAGGCCUGUAAACUCCUUUUCUCGGGAAAGACUUAGGACGGUACCCGAGGAAUAAGGACCGGCUAACUACGUGCCAGCAGCCGCGGUAAGACGUAGGGUCCAAGCGUUGUCCGGAUUUACUGGGCGUAAAGAGCGCGUAGGCGGUCUGUUAAGUGCACGAGUGAAAUCCCGGGGCUCACCUCCGGAACUGCUCUGCAUACUGGCAGACUUGAGGGUCGGAGAGGUUUGUGGAAUUCCUGGUGUAGCGGUGAAAUGCGUUGAUAUCAGGAGGAACACCCAUGGCGAAGGCAGCAAACUGGCCGGCAUCUGACGCUGAGGCGCGAAAGCGUGGGUAGCAAACA
rnacentral:rRNA from 1 species